AUAAAGUUAAGUUAGAUUAGACUAAAUGUUUUCAAAACAUUCAGCAACGUUUUAUUGUUACUUUAUG
rnacentral:tRNA from 1 species